ACUCCUACGGGAGGCAGCAGUGGGGAAUAUUGCACAAUGGAGGAAACUCUGAUGCAGCAACGCCGCGUGGAGGAUGACACAUUUCGGUGCGUAAACUCCUUUUAUAUGGGAAGAUAAUGACGGUACCAUAUGAAUAAGCACCGGCUAACUCCGUGCCAGCAGCCGCGGUAAUACGGAGGGUGCAAGCGUUACUCGGAAUCACUGGGCGUAAAGCGCGCGCAGGCGGCUAUUUAAGUUGGAUGUGAAAGCCUACGGCUCAACCGUAGAACUGCAUCCAAAACUAUUUAGCUAGAGUGUGGGAGAGGAAGAUGGAAUUAGUUGUGUAGGGGUAAAAUCCGUAGAGAUAACUAGGAAUACCAAAAGCGAAGGCAAUCUUCUGGAACAUUACUGACGCUGAGGCGCGAAAGCGUGGGGAGCAAACAGGAUUAGAUACCCUGGUAGUCCACGCCCUAAACGAUGAAUGUUAGUCGUCGGGUAGCUAGUCUAUUCGGUGAUGCAGCUAACGCAUUAAACAUUCCGCCUGGGGAGUACGGUCGCAAGAUUAAAACUCAAAGGAAUAGACGGGGACCCGCACAAGUGGUGGAGCAUGUGGUUUAAUUCGAAGAUACGCGAAGAACCUUACCUAGCCUUGACAUAUUUUAGAACUCCGUAGAGAUACAGAGGUGCCUUCGGGAGCUAAUUUACAGGUGCUGCACGGCUGUCGUCAGCUCGUGUCGUGAGAUGUUGGGUUAAGUCCCGCAACGAGCGCAACCCUCGUCACUAGUUACUAACGGUUCGGCCGAGGACUCUAGUGAGACUGCCUUCGUAAGGAGGAGGAAGGUGAGGACGACGUCAAGUCAUCAUGGCCCUUACGGCUAGGGCAACACACGUGCUACAAUGGCCAGGACAGUGAGAAGCGAUACCGCGAGGUGGAGCAAAUCUAUAAA
rnacentral:rRNA from 1 species